UACGGGGGGGGCAAGCGUUGUUCGGAAUUACUGGGCGUAAAGGGCUCGUAGGUGGCCAACUAAGUCAGACGUGAAAUCCCUCGGCUUAACCGAGCAAGCGUAUGCCAGACUGCCAGGCUAGAGUGCGGUAGAGGAUGGCGGAAUUCCCGGUGUAGCAGUGAAAAUGCGCAGAUAUCAGGAGGAACACCGGUGGCGAAGGCGGGUCUCUGGGGCCGAUACUGACGCUGAGGAGCGAAAAGCGUGGGGAGCGAACAGG
rnacentral:rRNA from 1 species